GUUACGGUGGAAAAUGGCCCAAUCCAACCACACCUCCCCCUGGCCUGUCAGCGGUUUCACGUGCAAAGAUGAUGGGUGAUUGUUGAUAGCUGACAGGCAGUACAAUGAAUAGAAAUAAAUCUAAUUUGCCAACAAAAAUAAUGUGCGAAACAAUUGUUUAUUUUUUUGGGAAACGAGAGAAAGUCGAUAAGUCACUUCGAAUCAGCAAAGCAUAUGAGAAUGUCAGAACAGUUCCCACAGCAGCGGCAGAUCACCAUGACUGAAGUGGUAGCAGCGAAGACUGUGGCAAGCUCUGAAAGAAUGAAGAGAGACCGUGUGAGUGGGAAUGGAAGUUGCAUCUCGUGUUGAUAGCAAGCCCCAAGCCUGAUGGAGAGAUGAGAUCCGAGAAGCCGUGUGGAGCAUUCCAAACAGGCAAAGGACUGGGUACAGAAGAGUGUCUGAAGAGGAGACAUUCAACUUUAGAUCCCGAUUGAUCCAGCAGGCUGUCAAGCGGCGGGAAGAUAAACAAAGACCCAGACUUCAACGUUGACACACCAGACCUACCUUGCCACUAGCUCCUCCUUGGUUGGUUUUUCAACUGGAGCAAUGAUGGGAAAACUUUUCAGCCUAACUUUGCAACUAACUUUAGUUAGCCUAUUGAUGGCAGUCUGAUGUGGUGGAAUGCCAUCAAUAACAUGUUAUGCAAUCAUUGGUAGCUUUGUGCAUUGUGACUCCUAUAUAGACCACCUGGAACAGCACCAUUCUCCACCUCAGGGGGUGUAUUCAUUCAGGUAAACUCAUGGGCAUAAGAAUCAGAACGAUUUAGAACAGGUUUAGAACUGCUAACCAUGGCAAUUUGACUGGUCAGCUCAUUGGUCCUCUUGCAUUGGCUGCCUGGUGGUGUCAUCAAAUACAAUUGUAUUUGUCACUUGCUUUGUAAUCAACAGGUGGAGACCUACAGUGAAAUGCUUACUUACGGGCCAGUCCCAACAAUGCUGAGUGAGAAAAUAGAGAAAUAAUAGAAAAGUAAUAACACGUUUUAAUACAAGUAAUAAUAAAUACACAAUAAGUAAUACUAACUUGGCUAUAUACAUGGGGUACCAGUACUGAGUUGAUGUGCAGGGGUAUGAAGUAAUUGAGGUAGAUAUGUACAUAUAACUAAGAAUAAAGUGACAGAAAAUAAACGGUAAUAGCAGCGUAUGUGAUGGGUCAAAAAAGUUGGUGCAAAAAGAGCAAUGCAAAUAUUCUGGGUAGCUAUUUUUGUUAACUAGUUAGCAGUCUUCUGGCUUGGGGGUUGAAGCUGUUCAGGGUCCUGUUGGUUCCAGACUUGGCUCAUCGGUACCGCUUGCUGUGCGUGAUGCAAUAAUUUCCAUGGUAUUGUAGAAUGUUCAUUCAAAUGAUGCUACCUGAUGUGACUCAUGCAAUGGAAUGUACUUUUUGUAAUGUCAGUUGGGUUGAUUCAACAAAUCACAGUACAGAUUGAUGGGUACACUUCCUGAUUUUACUUUACGCUUUUACUUCCGACUUUGCUCAUAUGGGUACUUUUGCAAUGGCCUGCAGUCCACCAAUUAUACCAUCAUUGUCUUGAAUGGGAACACCCGUUCUAUUCAAUGAGGGGAUUCAAUGAAUUUGGCCCGGGCACCCGGGAAGGUAUGUUUUACCCCUGGUGAAGUUUUGGAACUGUGUUGCCUCCCAGGCGUGAGCCAGCACAUGGAGUAAUGAGUCAGCUUCUCAUCCAAUGUGUUUUGUGAAAGAGAGAGGACACGAAGAGUAUGCAAUUGGGAUCUUCCCCGUGUUUUACAUAACCCCACGGUCCUAUAGGUUUUUAAUCCGACCCUUCUCAAGCUCAGCUGUUGGAGUAUAAACCUACAAGAUGGUUGGUUGCUCUCCGGGAACAUGUUUGUAAAAACCUGGUCUAACUAAUGCUGAGUGACUGUGAAUGGCAUAGAAACUGUGUAAUUGUUGUUUAAAAUAAUAACAUACAAUUAUUUAACUCUUUUAACUACAAAAUGUGUUUCUUAAAUGUUAUUUGUAUAAGACUCUAUGAGCCUGCUCAACUUCCUGGAAUCCAAUGUAGCUGCUGUUGGGGUCAGGGUAGUUGGAUGUAAUUGCUGCCACCACAGAGGCUGGGAGUACCUGUCGUUGGCCUCGACCUAGAUGUUCUCCCCUCAGCAUCCACUCCAGGGUGAUCCGAUAAGAAACCAGUCUAUUUGGUCCCAUGUUUUAUGAGUUGAAAUAAAAGAUCCCAGAAAUGUUCCAUACGCACAAAAAGCUUCUUUCUCUCAAAUUGUGUGCACAAAUUUGUUUACAUCCCUGUUGGUGAGCAUUUCUCGCCAAGAUAAUCCAUCCACCUGACAGGUGUGGCAUAUCAAGACGCUGAUUAAACAGCACGAUCAUUACACAGGUGCACCUUGUGCUGGGGACAAUAAAAUGCUGGCCCCUCUAAAAUCUGCAGUUUUGUCACACAACACAAUGCCACAGAUGUCUCAAGUUUUGAGGGAGUGUGCAAUUGGCAUGCUGACUGCAGGAAUGUCCACCGAGCUGUUUCCAGAUAAUUGAAUGUUAAUUUCUCAACCAUAAGCCACCUCCAACAUAAUGUUUGAGAAUUUAGCAGUAUGUCCAACUAUAGACCACGUGUAUGGUGUCAUAUAGGCGAGCAGUUUGCUGAUGUCAACGUUGUGAACAAAGUGCCUCCUGGUGGCUGUGGGGUUAUGGUAUAAACAGAUUUUUUUUCACCUUUAUUGGCUCGGGGAUUUGACCAGCAACCUUGCUGUAACUGGCCCAAAAACACUAGCCGAAUGGCUACCUGCUGCAGUACUAUUGACAGCUCUCUUGGUAUUGUAUACGUGAAGACUGUAUAGUGUUAGUGGUCAAGUGUGAGGCUGUUUUUCUUCCUCUUGUGUGUGGGUUUACUGGCUAAUUAGGAUAUUAUUGGUAUAAAAGCUAAACUGGCAAUUUCAAGUAACAUGUUAUUCUCUACUACCACUAUUGACUUUAUACUUCUUACAUGGUUUGGUAAUAUAAAUUCUUGUUGAUGUAGACCCAGAUUGAGAAGUGUGCUUCCCAUACAUUCUAUUUCUAUUGCUCAUCCAC